CCAAAGGUUGAGCUNAAAGUUCUUAUCAGCUUGUUGGGCGGGGGUAACGGGCCCACCAAGGCUUGCGAACGGGUAGCUGGUCUGAGAGGACGACCAGCCACACUGGCACUGCGACACGGGCCAGACUCCUACGGGAGGCAGCAGUGAGGAAUAUUGCGCAAUGGACGAAAGACUGACGCAGCGACGCCGCGUGGGGGAUGAAGGCCUUCGGGUUGUAAACCCCUUUCAGGAGGGAAGAUGGCGCGGGCAACCGCGCGGACGGUAC
rnacentral:rRNA from 1 species